AGUUACAGGGAGGUGACAGUGUUGUAGUUACAGGGAGGUGACAGUGUUGUAGUUACAGGGAGGUGACAGCGUUGUGGUUACAGGGAGGUGACAGUGUUGUAGUUACAGGGAGGUGACAGUGUUGUAGUUACAGGGAGGUGACAGUGUUGUAGUUACAGGGAGGUGACAGUGUUGUAGUUACAGGGAGGUGACAGUGUUGUAGUUACAGGGAGGUGACAGUGUUGUGGUUACAGGGAGGUGACAGUGUUGUAGUU